GCCAGGCGCAGUGGUGUGCACCUGUAGUCCCAGCUACUCGGGAGGCUGAGACAGGGGAAUCGCUUGAACCCAGGAGGUGGAGGUUGCAGUGAGCUGAGAUGGCACCACUGCACUCCAGAAGCCUGGGUGACAGAGCAAGACUCUGUCUCAA
rnacentral:SRP_RNA from 2 species